GAUGAACGCUGGCGGCGUGCCUCAAACAUGCAAGUCGAGCGGGGCUAUGUAAUACCGCAAGGUAGAACAUAGCCUAGCGGCGAACGGGUGAGUAACACGUGGGUAACCUGCCUGGAAGACAGGGAUAACGAUUCGAAAGGGUCGCUAAUACCUGAUAAUAUCCUUUCAUCGCAUGGUGAUAGGAAGAAAGGGGAAACCCGCUUUCAGAUGGGCCCGCGUCCCAUCAGCUAGUUGGUAAGGUAAAGGCUUACCAAGGCGACGACGGGUAGCCGGUCUGAGAGGAUGUACGGCCACACUGGAACUGAGACACGGUCCAGACUCCUACGGGAGGCAGCAGUGGGGAAUUUUGGACAAUGGGCGCAAGCCUGAUCCAGCCAAUUCCGCGUGCAGGAUGAAGGCCUUCGGGUUGUAAACUAGCUUUUGUUACGGUAACGAAACGGACGAGCUCUAAUACAGUUUGCUAAUGACGGUACCCAACGAGGAAGCCCUGCUAACUACGUAGCCAGCAGCCGCGGUAACG
rnacentral:rRNA from 1 species